rnacentral:rRNA from 2 species
AAUACAUAGCAUAUCAGAAGGCACACCCGGAGAACUGAAACAUCUUAGUACCCGGAGGAAGAGAAAGAAAAUUCGAUUCCCUUAGUAGCGGCGAGCGAAACGGGAAGAGCCCAAACCAACAAGCUUGCUUGUUGGGGUUGUAGGACACUCUAUACGGAGUUACAAAGGACGACAUUAGACGAAUCAUCUGGAAAGAUGAAUCAAAGAAGGUAAUAAUCCUGUAGUCGAAAAUGUUGUCUCUCUUGAGUGGAUCCUGAGUACGACGGAGCACGUGAAAUUCCGUCGGAAUCUGGGAGGACCAUCUCCUAAGGCUAAAUACUCUCUAGUGACCGAUAGUGAACCAGUACCGUGAGGGAAAGGUGAAAAGCACCCCGGAAGGGGAGUGAAAUAGAACCUGAAACCGUGUGCUUACAAGUAGUCAGAGCCCGUUAAUGGGUGAUGGCGUGCCUUUUGUAGAAUGAACCGGCGAGUUACGAUUUGAUGCAAGGUUAAGCAGUAAAUGUGGAGCCGUAGCGAAAGCGAGUCUGAAUAGGGCGUUUAGUAUUUGGUCGUAGACCCGAAACCAGGUGAUCUACCCUUGGUCAGGUUGAAGUUCAGGUAACACUGAAUGGAGGACCGAACCGACUUACGUUGAAAAGUGAGCGGAUGAACUGAGGGUAGCGGAGAAAUUCCAAUCGAACCUGGAGAUAGCUGGUUCUCUCCGAAAUAGCUUUAGGGCUAGCCUCAAGUGAUGAUUAUUGGAGGUAGAGCACUGUUUGGACGAGGGGCCCCUCUCGGGUUACCGAAUUCAGACAAACUCCGAAUGCCAAUUAAUUUAACUUGGGAGUCAGAACAUGGGUGAUAAGGUCCGUGUUCGAAAGGGAAACAGCCCAGACCACCAGCUAAGGUCCCAAAAUAUAUGUUAAGUGGAAAAGGAUGUGGCGUUGCCCAGACAACUAGGAUGUUGGCUUAGAAGCAGCCAUCAUUUAAAGAGUGCGUAAUAGCUCACUAGUCGAGUGACACUGCGCCGAAAAUGUACCGGGGCUAAACAUAUUACCGAAGCUGUGGAUUGUCCUUUGGACAAUGGUAGGAGAGCGUUCUAAGGGCGUUGAAGCAUGAUCGUAAGGACAUGUGGAGCGCUUAGAAGUGAGAAUGCCGGUGUGAGUAGCGAAAGACGGGUGAGAAUCCCGUCCACCGAUUGACUAAGGUUUCCAGAGGAAGGCUCGUCCGCUCUGGGUUAGUCGGGUCCUAAGCUGAGGCCGACAGGCGUAGGCGAUGGAUAACAGGUUGAUAUUCCUGUACCACCUAUAAUCGUUUUAAUCGAUGGGGGGACGCAGUAGGAUAGGCGAAGCGUGCGAUUGGAUUGCACGUCUAAGCAGUAAGGCUGAGUAUUAGGCAAAUCCGGUACUCGUUAAGGCUGAGCUGUGAUGGGGAGAAGACAUUGUGUCUUCGAGUCGUUGAUUUCACACUGCCGAGAAAAGCCUCUAGAUAGAAAAUAGGUGCCCGUACCGCAAACCGACACAGGUAGUCAAGAUGAGAAUUCUAAGGUGAGCGAGCGAACUCUCGUUAAGGAACUCGGCAAAAUGACCCCGUAACUUCGGGAGAAGGGGUGCUCUUUAGGGUUAACGCCCAGAAGAGCCGCAGUGAAUAGGCCCAAGCGACUGUUUAUCAAAAACACAGGUCUCUGCUAAACCGUAAGGUGAUGUAUAGGGGCUGACGCCUGCCCGGUGCUGGAAGGUUAAGAGGAGUGGUUAGCUUCUGCGAAGCUACGAAUCGAAGCCCCAGUAAACGGCGGCCGUAACUAUAACGGUCCUAAGGUAGCGAAAUUCCUUGUCGGGUAAGUUCCGACCCGCACGAAAGGCGUAACGAUUUGGGCACUGUCUCAACGAGAGACUCGGUGAAAUCAUAGUACCUGUGAAGAUGCAGGUUACCCGCGACAGGACGGAAAGACCCCGUGGAGCUUUACUGUAGCCUGAUAUUGAAAUUCGGCACAGCUUGUACAGGAUAGGUAGGAGCCUUUGAAACGUGAGCGCUAGCUUACGUGGAGGCGCUGGUGGGAUACUACCCUAGCUGUGUUGGCUUUCUAACCCGCACCACUUAUCGUGGUGGGAGACAGUGUCAGGCGGGCAGUUUGACUGGGGCGGUCGCCUCCUAAAAGGUAACGGAGGCGCUCAAAGGUUCCCUCAGAAUGGUUGGAAAUCAUUCAUAGAGUGUAAAGGCAUAAGGGAGCUUGACUGCGAGACCUACAAGUCGAGCAGGGUCGAAAGACGGACUUAGUGAUCCGGUGGUUCCGCAUGGAAGGGCCAUCGCUCAACGGAUAAAAGCUACCCCGGGGAUAACAGGCUUAUCUCCCCCAAGAGUUCACAUCGACGGGGAGGUUUGGCACCUCGAUGUCGGCUCAUCGCAUCCUGGGGCUGUAGUCGGUCCCAAGGGUUGGGCUGUUCGCCCAUUAAAGCGGUACGCGAGCUGGGUUCAGAACGUCGUGAGACAGUUCGGUCCCUAUCCGUCGUGGGCGUAGGAAAUUUGAGAGGAGCUGUCCUUAGUACGAGAGGACCGGGAUGGACAUACCUCUGGUGUACCAGUUGUCGUGCCAACGGCAUAGCUGGGUAGCUAUGUGUGGACGGGAUAAGUGCUGAAAGCAUCUAAGCAUGAAGCCCCCCUCAAGAUGAGAUUUCCCAACUUCGGUUAUAAGAUCCCUCAAAGAUGAUGAGGUUAAUAGGUUCGAGGUGGAAGCAUGGUGACAUGUGGAGCUGACGAAUACUAAUCGAUCGAAGACUUAAUCAA